rnacentral:rRNA from 1 species
AUUGAACGCUGGCGGCAUGCCUUACACAUGCAAGUCGAACGGUAACAGGUCUUCGGAUGCUGACGAGUGGCGAACGGGUGAGUAAUACAUCGGAACGUGCCUAGUAGUGGGGGAUAACUACUCGAAAGAGUGGCUAAUACCGCAUGAGAUCUACGGAUGAAAGCAGGGGAUCGCAAGACCUUGUGCUACUAGAGCGGCCGAUGGCAGAUUAGGUAGUUGGUGGGAUAAAAGCUUACCAAGCCGACGAACUGUAGCUGGUCUGAGAGGACGAUCCGCCACACUGGGACUGAGACACGGACCAGACUCCUACGGGAGGCAGCAGUGGGGAAUUUUGGACAAUGGGCGCAAGCCUGAUCCAGCAAUGCCGCGUGCAGGAUGAGGGCCUUCGGGUUGUAAACUGCUUUUGUACGGAACGAAAAGCCCUGGGUUAAUACCCUGGGGUCAUGACGGUACCGUAAGAAUAAGCACCGGCUAACUACGUGCCAGCCGCCGCGGUAAUAC